rnacentral:rRNA from 1 species
GACGAGGGAUCCUAGCGUUGUUCGGAAUCAUUGGGCGUAAAGCGGGUGCAGGUGGCUAUGUAAGUCAGGUGUGAAAGCCUAGGGCUCAACCCUAGAAGUGCAUUUGAUACUGCGUAGCUUGAGUGGUAGAGAGGAUAGUAGAAUCUUGGUGUAGUGGUGAAAUACGUAGAUAUCAAGAGGAAUACCGGAGGCGAAAGGCGGCUAUCGUGGCUACACACUGACACUCAGACCCGAAAGUGCGGGGAUCAAACAGGAUUAGAGUACCCAGUAAGCUC